AUGCACGCUGGCGGCGUGCCUCAUACAUGCAAGUCGAGCGAACGGACGAGAAGCUUGCUUCUCUGAUGUUAGCGGCGGACGGGUGAGUAACACGUGGAUAACCUACCAAUAAGACUGGGAUAACUUCGGGAAACCGUAGCUAAUACCGGAUAAUAUUUUGAACCGCAUGGUUCAAAAGUGAAAGACGGUCUUGCUGUCACUUAUAGAUGGAUCCGCGCUGCAUUAGCUAGUUGGUAAGGUAACGGCUUACCAAGGCAACGAUGCAUAGCCGACCUGAGAGGGUGAUCGGCCACACUGGAACUGAGACACGGUCCAGACUCCUACGGGAGGCAGCAGUAGGGAAUCUUCCGCAAUGGGCGAAAGCCUGACGGAGCAACGCCGCGUGAGUGAUGAAGGUCUUCGGAUCGUAAAACUCUGUUAUUAGGGAAGAACAUAUGUGUAAGUAACUGUGCACAUCUUGACGGUACCUAAUCAGAAAGCCACGGCUAACUACGUG
rnacentral:rRNA from 1 species